GAAAGAGGGAAGUGCUCAUGCCAUUAUACAGAACACUGGUGAGACCUCACUUGGAGUAUUGUACACAGUACUGGACACCGUAUCUUCAGAAGGAUAUUGAUACUUUAGAGAGGGUUCAGAGAAGGGCUACUAAACUGGUUCAUGGAUUGCGGGAUAAAACUUACCAGGAAAGGUUAAAGGAACAUGUAUAGCUUGGAGGAAAGACGAGACAGGGGGGAUAUGAUAGAAACAUUUAAAUAUAUAAAGGGAAUCAACACAGUAAAGGAGGAGACUAUAUUUAAAAGAAGAAAA